rnacentral:rRNA from 1 species
UACGAAGGGUGCAAGCGUUACUCGGAAUUACUGGGCGUAAAGCGUGCGUAGGUGGUUCGUUAAGUCUGAUGUGAAAGCCCUGGGCUCAACCUGGGAAUGGCAUUGGAUACUGGCGACCUAGAGUGCGGUAGAGGGGUGUGAAAUUCCCGGUGUAGCAGUGAAAUGCGUAGAUAUCGGGAGGAACAUCUGUGGCGAAGGCGACACCCUGGACCAGCACUGACACUGAGGCACGAAAGCGUGGGGAGCAAACAGG